GAGUUUGAUCCUGGCUCAGGACGAACGCUGGCGGUGCGCCUUAUGCAUGCAAGUUGAGCGAAGCUUUUUGGUAGUUUACUACUAGAAAUGACUGAGCGGCGAACGGGUGAGUAACGCGUGAGCAAUCUACCUUAGUUACUGGGAUAGCCCGAGGAAACUCGGAUUAAUACCGGAUAUUCUUAUUUUUUCACAUGAAGUUUUAAGGAAAGGUCAGCCGAACUAAGAUGAGCUCGCGUUCUAUCAGCUAGUUGGUGGGGUAAAAGCCUACCAAGGCUACGACGGAUAGCUGGUCUGAGAGGACGAUCAGCCACACUGGGACUGAGACACGGCCCAGACUCCUACGGGAGGCUGCAGCAGGGAAUAUUGUGCAAUGAGCGAAAGCUUGACACAGCGACACCGCGUGUGGGAUGACGGUUCUAGGAUUGUAAACCACUUUCAGGAGGGAAGAAAAUGACGGUACCUCCACAAGAAGACCCGGCCAACUAUGUGCCAGCAGCCGCGGUAAUACAUAGGGGUCAAGCGUUGUCCGGAUUUAUUGGGCGUAAAGAGCUCGUAGGCGGUUCAACAAGUCGGUCGUAAAAGUUUAGGGCUCAACCCUAAAAUGUCGAUCGAUACUGUUGUGACUAGGAUACGGUAGAGGUGAAUGGAAUUCCGAGUGUAGCGGUGAAAUGCGUAGAUAUUCGGAGGAACACCAAUUGCGAAGGCAGUUCACUGGACCGUGAUCGACGCUGAGGAGCGAAAGCUAGGGGAGCAAACAGGAUUAGAUACCCUGGUAGUCCUAGCUGUAAACGAUGGAUACUAGAUGUAGGAACUGGAUUGACGGUUUCUGUAUCGUAGCUAACGCGUUAAGUAUCCCGCCUGGGGAGUACGGUCGCAAGACUAAAACUCAAAGGAAUUGACGGGACCCCGCACAAGCGGCGGAGCAUGCGGCUUAAUUCGAUGAUACCCGUAGAACCUUACCUGGACUUGACAUAUAGGGAAAAACUGGAGAAAUCCAGUGUGCGUAAGCGCCCUAUACAGGUGGUGCAUGGCUGUCGUCAGCUCGUGUCGUGAGAUGUUGGGUUAAGUCCCCGCAACGAGCGCAACCCCUGUCCUAUGUUGCCAGCAAGUAAUGUUGGGGACUCAUAGGAGACUGCCGGUGAUAAACCGGAGGAAGGUGGGGACGACGUCAAGUCAUCAUGCCCCUUAUGUCCAGGGCUGCACGCAUGCUACAAUGGCAAGUACAACGAGUCGCAAUACCGCGAGGUGGAGCAAAUCUCUUAAAGCUUGUCUCAGUUCGGAUAGGAGUCUGCAACUCGACUCCUUGAAGUUGGAGUCGCUAGUAAUCGCAAAUCAGCAAAGUUGCGGUGAAUACGUUCUCGGGGUUUGUACACACCGCCCGUC
rnacentral:rRNA from 1 species